CCAGUGGAGACAGCGAUAGAUAAUUCUCAGAAACAACCUGCAACGGAUAAAGAUCCAGGAGAAAGGUUGGACACUGGUCAGAUUGAUGAGAAUCAAGGACCGUUGGAAAUCAGGUGGUGAUGGAUCCGCUGCUGAUCUGCAAGAAAACCAGAAGACUGAGAGGCAAGAUGGCGGAUAUUUGUCGCAAAGAGCCUUCCUUGUUGAAAGAGAUCGCGAGAGGCGUGCAAGUCGGGACCAGAGAAUGCCAGCAUCAAUUCAGGAAUCGACGAUGGAAUUGUACCACGAUCAGGAGAUCGUUGAGAAAGAUUUUGUUACGAGACCGUGGAUGCAGCCAGGUGUUGGAGGCGGGAGUGGCGUGGCCCACACAGGUGGGACAGGUGACGACGAGGCUCCAAAAGACCCCGGUAUUCGAAUCACUCAUCAAUCUUACACCGAGAAGGAUUACGAAGGUCACAGAGCGCACACGGUGUACGUGGGCGUGCAUCUACCUGGAGAAAGGAGACAUCGUCGUCACCACAAGCACCAUCAUUCCCAGCGUCAAACGUACAGUACCACCAAGGAAAAUGUCGACAGCGAUAGACCCAUUACCCCGCCAGCCCAAAGGGUGCAGUUCAUCCUGGGCGAGGAAGUCGGCGACGAUGCUCACGAGUCCCAUCCUCUCUUCUCCGAGAUGGAGGAGCUCGUCAAGGAUGGGGAUGAGAUGGAAUGGAAGGAAACAGCCAGAUGGAUCAAGUUCGAGGAGGACGUGGAAGAGGGUGGAAACAGAUGGAGUAAACCUCAUGUAGCGACUCUAUCGUUGCACUCGUUGUUCGAGUUGAGAAGCCUGCUGUUAAAUGGCACCGUGAUGCUGGACAUGGAGGCAACAAGCUUGGAACAAAUCGCCGAUUUAGUCCUGGAUAAUAUGAUCAACAAGGGAUCGUUAGCCAUCGAGUCGAGGGAGAAGGUCAGGGAAGCACUUCUGGUAAGACAUCGACACCAACACGAGAGGCGUAAGGACAACAACAUGUCCAGGCUACCGAUCAUCAGAUCGCUAGCCGAGAUCGGACGGAAUCAUUCCUCCUCGAAGAAUGAAGACUGUUCAUGUGGUUUGCAUGCGUUGUUGACGUCAGAUUUACAGGAGCGUCGCGAACCCGUGGACGCGUAUGCGCCCGCGGUGGCGCGCAGCAGUAGCUGUCCAAAUUCGAACACGGCUCUGCUGUCGAAAGAAGCGAAAGAUCUUAAAGGACCAUACCUUCUGGUUCCAGUGGAGGAAUCGAAUUCCGCCCCGGCGAUCGCCGGUGCUACAAGUCACGGCAGUGGGGCAGUGCUGAAUGCCGGUAGCCGUUUCCUUGCCGUUCCCGGUAAUCCCGGCCAAGAACCAGGCACCAACGGGAUGGAUCGAAGUCCAAGCAGCGUGUCAAUUAGCAGAAACCACAGUUCAUCGGCUUUGGAAAAUGGAGACGCGAAUCACAGGGCUAACAUACAUUUUAUGCGAAAAAUACCAGCAGGGGCCGAGGCGAGCAAUAUUCUCGUUGGAGAGGUCGAUUUUUUAGAUAAGACCCUGUCAGCGUUUAUUCGGCUAAGCCAGGCGGGAAUAAUGGGCGAUUUAACGGAAGUUCCUGUACCAACGAGAUUUAUAUUCGUCCUGCUAGGACCCACGGGAGGAAUCUCAGGUUUCCACGAAAUCGGUCGCGCGAUGGCUACUUUAAUGUCGGACGAGGUUUUCCACGAUGUGGCUUACAAGGCAAAAAAUAGGAAUCACUUGUUGGCUGGAAUCGACGAGUUCCUGGACGCGGUCACGGUUCUACCGCCAGGAGAAUGGGACCCUGCCAUCAGGAUAGAACCUCCUGCAGCGAUUCCUUCGCAGGACGUGAGAAAACGGCCGAAAGAAGAGAAACCGAAGGAGGAAUUCGACGAAGAGGCGGAUGAACAGAAACAAAGGGAAGAAUCGGGUCUCUCUAGGUCGGGGAAACUGUUCGGCGGUUUGAUCAACGACGUUAAGAGGAAGGCACCCUUUUACCUAUCCGAUUUUAAAGACGCUUUGGCGUUGCAAUGCGUGGCCUCCUUCAUUUUCCUCUACUUUGCUUGCCUAUCGCCUAUCAUCACCUUCGGUGGCUUACUGGGCGAAGCCACUGGAAAGAAUAUGGCCGCCAUGGAGUCGCUUGUUUCCGGUUUCGUGUGCGGUAUCGGUUACGGAUUCUUCUCUGGACAACCUUUAACCAUUCUAGGUUCAACCGGGCCAGUUUUGGUCUUCGAAACGAUCGUCUACGAAUUUUGCAAAAAAUCUGACUGGAACUACAUGUCCUUUCGUUUCUGGAUCGGCUCGUGGAUAACGUUGAUCUUGGUAAUCUUGGUCGCGGUCGACGCUAGCGCCCUGGUGUGCUACAUCACGCGAUUUACGGAAGAAAACUUUGCCACCCUCAUCGCGUUCAUCUUCAUUUACAAGGCUAUCGAGAACGUGCUGUCGAUAGGUAAAAAGUACCCGAUCAACACUCACGCUAACGACCCAUUUAGCUUCGAAUGCUGGUGCAGGCCACCAAAUGGUAGUUUACCGUCUAGCUACGAUAACGUCAAUUGGACAGCGUUGGAUCCGAAAGCAUGCCAGAGCUACAACGGCACGCUCGUGGGCGAUGGUUGUAAUCUACCGCAUUACAUACCCGAUGUGUUCCUCAUGUCAAUUAUACUCUUUAUGGGCACAUUCUUACUAUCCGUCGAACUCAAAGAUUUCAAAAACGCUCUUUUCUUCCCAUCAAAGGUCAGACAGGUGGUCAGCGAUUUCGCGGUGAUAAUCGCGAUUUUCUCGAUGAGCGCGCUCGAUCACUUCGUCAACAUCCCGACGCCAAAGUUGGAAGUACCUGAAGAAUUUAAGCCGACGUUGAACGGUCGAGGAUGGAUGAUCUGGCCCUUCCAAAACAAUCCUUGGUGGAGCGCCAUCGUCGCGUGUCUGCCUGCUCUAUUAGGCACUAUAUUGAUCUUCAUGGAUCAGCAGAUUACAGCGGUGAUAGUGAACAGGAAAGAGAACAAACUGAAGAAAGGAUGCGGUUAUCAUUUGGAUCUGUUCAUUCUCGCGAUUCUGAUUGAGAUUUGCUCCGUAAUGGGAUUGCCAUGGUUCGUGGCUGCUACGGUGCUUUCUAUAAACCACGUGAACUCGUUGAAGCUGGAGUCCGAAUGCGCUGCACCGGGAGAGAAGCCACAGUUUCUCGGUGUACGAGAACAACGCGUCACGCAUAUACUGAUCUUCCUGAUGAUCGGAUGUUCCGUUCUAUUGACGCCAAUGUUGAAACAUAUACCGAUGCCUGUACUGUUUGGCGUGUUUCUGUACAUGGGAGUCGCUUCUCUGAAGGGUCUACAAUUCUUCGAUAGGAUACUUAUCAUGCUGAUGCCCGUCAAAUAUCAACCAGAUUACAUGUUCCUUCGACAGGUACCCUUGAAACGCGUGCAUCUGUUUACCGUGAUACAAUUGGCCUGUUUGGCUUGCUUGUGGAUUAUAAAGUCAUUUAGCAGUACGUCCAUUUUGUUCCCAUUGAUGCUCGUGGUGAUGAUCGGGAUACGCAAAUCCCUGGACCUGUUUUUCACCCAAAGAGAACUGAAGAUCCUGGACGACGUUAUGCCGGAGCCGAGCAAAAAACAUGCAGACGAUCUUCGCCAGUUGGAGAGUGGCGAGGAACAGAACGAAUCUAUGGGGUAUGGACCAUCGGGAAACAUACAGAUUUCCCUAGCGAACGGGAACGUUAUGAAGAUUCCGAUGACCAGCAUCAACAUCAGCGAGGAGGUAAACAAGACGGGCAUUUGGCAGCAGGUGAACGAGGGUAACGAGAAAACGAAGCAGGCCAAAUUAAUAAGCACGGGGAAACAAAAGAAACAUUCGAAGAAGGAAAACUCGUUAAUGGCUGACGAGACUACGAGGCUAACCACGAUGACCGAGGAAGACGAGGAUGACAAUGGGAUCUCUAUCAAGGUGACAAACGUAAAUGACUCUAAAUUCUAACCACCAUCACCAUCACCAAACCAAGUUACACAGCAAGAGCACCAAUACACGGGCAUGCAACAUAAUCCCUGUACGCUACUGUAGACUUGAUACGAUCGAAGGAAAGCAUCAGCCCGUUAACGAUUAACGGCACUACCUCGGCUGAGACUUCCGUCUAACGAAAGCAUCGG
rnacentral:misc_RNA from 1 species